UGGAAGUCUCUGGUGCUGUGCUAGUUGGAGUCUGUUCUCGGGCCUGAGCCUCGAGGCUAGGCUCCUGGGUGUCGUUAAUGUUCGGGGCCGCCGGGCGCCAACCGAUCGGAGCUCCAGCCGCCGGGAACAGCUGGCAUUUCAGUCGAACCAUGGAAGAACUGGUUCAUGAUCUUGUCUCUGCUUUGGAGGAGAGCUCAGAGCAAGCUCGAGGUGGAUUUGCUGAAACAGGCGAUCAUUCUCGAAGUAUGUCUUGUCCUCUGAAACGCCAGGCAAGGAAAAGGAGAGGGAGAAAACGAAGGUCGUAUAAUGUUCAUCACCCAUGGGAGCCUGGCCACUGCUUAAGUGAAGGCACGGAUUCUAGUUUAGAGGAACCAAGCAAGGACUACAGAGAAAAUCACAAUAAUAAUAAAAAAGAUCAUAGUGACUCUGAUGACCAAAUGUUAGUGGCUAAGCGCAGGCCAUCAUCAAACUUAAACAAUAAUGUACGAGGAAAAAGACCUCUGUGGCACGAAUCGGAUUUUGCUGUGGACAACCUUGGGAACAGAACUCUGCGCAGAAGGAGAAAGGUAAAACGCAUGGCAGUUGACCUCCCACAGGACAUCUCUAACAAACGGACAAUGACCCAGCCCCUUGAAGGUUGUAGAGAUCAGGACAUGGACAAUGACAGAGCUUACCAAUAUCAAGAGUUUACCAAGAACAAAGUCAAAAAAAGGAAAUUGAAAAUAAUUAGACAAGGGCCAAAAAUCCAAGAUGAAGGAGUAGUUUUAGAAAGUGAGGAAAUAAGCCAGACCAGUAAGGACAAAAUGGACUAUGAAGAGCAAAAGGUCUCAGAUGAACUCAUGAGUGAAAGUGACUCCAGCAGUCUCAGCAGCACUGAUGCUGGCUUAUUUACCAAUGAUGAGGGAAGACAAGGUGACGAUGAGCAGAGUGACUGGUUUUAUGAGAAGGAAUCAGGUGGAGCGUGUGGCAUCACUGGAGUUGUGCCCUGGUGGGAAAAGGAAGAUCCUACUGAGCUAGACAAAAAUUUACCAGAUCCUGUCUUUGAAAGUAUCUUAACUGGUUCUUUCCCUCUAAUGUCGCAUCCGGGAAGAAGAGGUUUUCAAGCUAGACUCAGUCGCCUUCAUGGAAUGCCUUCCAAGAACAUUAAAAAAUCAGGAGGGACCACAACUUCAAUGGUGAGCACCCCUGGUCCUGUCAAUAACAAGAGGAUGGUUCACUUUUCCCCAGAUUCUCAUCACCAUGACCAUUGGUUUAGCCCUGGUGCUAGGACAGAGCAUGGCCAGCAUCAGCUUCUGAGAGAUAACCGAGCUGAAAGAGGACACAAGAAAAACUGUUCUGUGAAAACAGCCAGCAGGCAAACAAGCAUGCAUUUAGGAUCCUUAUGCACAGGAGAUAUCAAACGGAGAAGAAAAGCUGCACCUUUGCCUGGACCUACUACAGCAGGAUUUGUAGGGGAAAACGCCCAGCCAAUCCUAGAAAACAACAUUGGAAACCGAAUGCUCCAGAACAUGGGCUGGACACCUGGGUCAGGCCUUGGACGAGAUGGCAAGGGGAUCGCUGAGCCCAUUCAAGCCAUGCAGAGGCCAAAAGGAUUAGGUCUUGGAUUUCCUCUACCAAAAAGCACCCCUGCAGCUCCCACUCCCAAUGCAGGAAAAUCCGCCUAAGAAGAAAAGCAAAGAAGAAAUGUUUUACAAUUUUUAUUCACGAUAUAGAUCCCAUUGUCCUAAAAUUACAACCUAGCUUCCAUUUUUGAAGCAGAAAUCUACAUUGCCUCAAACUCAUCACUAGCGUCCUAACCGCAUACAGUCCAGCCACAGUGAGAGAGAUGGGGCUCCGUCACAAUGCCUGGUGCUAAAGUGAAAACCUUCACCUUUUGCAGUUUUCAGCUAUUUCUAGGUAUAAGGAACACUUACUUCUCCUAUUUAUUUUGAUCUCAUAGGUCAGUCAUUUCUAGCUUGAUUCGUUCGUGUGUGUGUGUGUGUGUGUGUGUGUGUGUGUGUGUGUGAUGCCCAGGCAAAUGAGAGCACACCCACAGGUUUCUCGAAUGGGAUAGGCCAGAGAGGGUGGUGUUUCUAUCAUCCCUAGAACUUGAAAGACCUAGCAUUACAUCAGUGAAGUCCUAAGCAAAUCUUUGUGUGAAAGGCUUGCCAAUUUCACGUUCUGAUUUUGGCUCUUUUGUAAGGAUUCUGUAACAGGGUGGUCCCAAUUAUCUCUCCUUGGACAGUGUAGGAUAAAGUUCACAGUUGACAAACAACAAUUAAUAUUUCCCUCUGACAUUCUGACCAAAAUAAACCUCAUCAUUGUAAUCACCAGAGUGCCCACAACAUUACCUUAAUGCAGAUUUUACAAAUUUUACCUCAUCUAGAACAGAAAAGAAUUAUUGAAAGAAAAAUGUAUUUUUUAAAUUCACCAUGACUGAACUGUAAAUUCUGUUAAUCUAGACUGACUUCUACCUCUCUCUUCCCAAAGGUUGAUAUUUUUUUAAGAUCAGCGCAACUGUGGUAAACUAAUUUUCAGUUUUAACCAUUGGAGUACUUACUAGAAUUAUCGAAUCAGUUUGUUUGAAAAUCUAAAUGGCUCUCCCACGAAUUCAGAUUUCUGGCAAUGAUCCAGCCCAUUUACAAGGACAGGUACUAGUCCUCUGAAGCAGACCCUUGGAGAUGCUCAUUUAACUUGGAUGUUCUCGAACACUCCCUCCAAAGUAGUUCGUGUUUACAUUAUCAGCAAGCAAAAGAAAGGUCAGAUUCUUGACGUCUAGAGCCCUCUAUGUGGCUCUCAGAAGACUUAAAAUAUUUUUUAAUGUUUGUAAGUAUUUAACUUAACUAUACAGACUAUAUGAGUCAAUACUCCAAGUAGAUAUUAUCAUGCAAACAUACAUCAGAAGCACAUACAUCCCUUCACCAUUCAGUCCUGAAGAACAGUCAAUGCAGACCUGAUGUUCUCUCUGUACCCAAACAUAAUUGGAGAAACAAACACAAUUAAGAUACUGAAUUUCUAAUGUAAAUCAAAUAUCUUUUAAGAUAUGAAGCCCACUAAUUUAUGUUUCACUUAUAGUUCAGUUAAUUUUUACCUGCUUGUUACUAUGCACAUAGAACCCAAAGCAUCCGAAGGAAUUCAUGAUUUAGAAUGCACAUUCAUGUCUUCUGAAAAAGGUGGUAAGAUUUUCCUCUGCUCCUUUGUGAAGCCACUUUUCUACUCUACAGUAUCUAAAGCCCAUGUCAAAUGAAUCAGUCAUGCUAAACUGUAGAGAAUACAUAGGUCUCUUCCUUUACGGUCUAAAUUAUCCCUAGCUGUAGCCAAGAGGGGCUGAACAUGACUACCUUAGCAGUUCAACUCUUUUUCUUCAUAUGCUUAUUAAACUUGAUACUGAUGAGACUGUGUGUUCGGGUCUUUUCCUUCCUUCCUUCCUUCCUUCCUUCCUUCCUUCCCCCAAAUGUAAUUUUUAAGGCUAUAUUCCCCUUAAACUUGUUUGCUUUCAUUUUUCAGUUACCUGACACCCCUUUAAAAGAAAGUACAUAACUAACUGAAAUUUACCAAUUAGUGUCAACACUUGAAUACAUAGACUUUAUAACUCAUACUGUGGUUAUCAAACAGAAGUAAAGACAGUAGGGUUAAAAGGUAUGCACAAUGUAUACAUACAGGUGUAUUUACAGGCACAUACGUGUGCAAAAAACAGACAUGAUUGCAAAAUACUACAUUUUAUUAAUACGUUCAUUUUAACAUUGUGAAUUGAUGUUCUUAUAAUGAGUGAACUGACAGUUCCUUCUCUUCACAUUUUCAUUUUGAGCCGUAAUUUCUCGAAAGAAAAUAA